AAAAAAAAAAAAAGCGCCAGACCUAUAGAGAGAGAAAGAGAUCGAGAGACAGAGAAAGAUCGAGAGACGGAGAAGAUAAGAUCCGCGUCCGAGAACAGUGAAGAACGGCAGGAAAGCAGGAUCAGGAAUGGACGGUUGGGAUGAGAUUUAGAAUGGAACAGGUCUAGUUUGAAGUAUGAAGUGAUGCUUACUUUCCUUGGUACUGUUUGUUUAGAAUGGAAUUUUGAAGUUUGAAAAGUUUUUAAGAUUUAGACUGAGGUUUUGAAAUAUGUAAUGAUGGAUUCACCACCAUACUCUGCAACAUUUACUUUUGGUUUUGUAAUGAAAUUCGAGUUCUAUGUUUUAAUGUAGUUCUUUGCUGGUAACU